rnacentral:rRNA from 1 species
UACAGAGGAUGCAAGCGUUAUCCGGAAUUACUGGGCGUAAAGCGUGCGCAGGCGGUGAUGUAAGACAGAUGUGAAAUCCCCGGGCUCAACCUGGGAACUGCAUUUGUGACUGCAUCGCUGGAGUGCGGCAGAGGGGGAUGGAAUUCCGCGUGUAGCAGUGAAAUGCGUAGAUAUGCGGAGGAACACCGAUGGCGAAGGCAAUCCCCUGGGCCUGCACUGACGCUCAUGCACGAAAGCGUGGGGAGCAAACAGG